rnacentral:rRNA from 1 species
GACGAACGCUGGCGGCGUGCCUAAUACAUGCAAGUCGAACGCACAGUUUAUAUUUUAGCUUGCUACACCAUAUACUGUGAGUUGCGAACGGGUGAGAAACGCGUAGGUAACCUGCCUGGUAGCGGGGGAAAACUAGUGGAAACGAUAGCUAUUACCGCAUAAUAUUAAUUAUUGCAUGAGAAUUAAUUGACAGGUGCAAUUGCACCACUACCAGACGGACCUGCGUUGUAUUAGCUAGUAGGUGAGGUAACGGCUAACGUAGGCGACGAUAGAUAGCCGACCUGCGAGGGUGAUCGGCGACACUGGGCCUGGGACACGGGCCACACUCCUGCGGGCUGCAGCAGUAGGGAGUCUGCGGCAAUGGACGAAAGGCUGAACGAGCAACGCCGCGUGCGUGGAGAAGGUUUUCGGCUCGUGAAGUUCUGUCGUCAGAGGAGAACGGGUGUGAGAGUUGAAUGUUCACACUGUGACGGUAGCUUACGAGAAAGCGACGGCUAACUACGUG